GGACAUGGAACCUUGCCAACACAUUUCAUACAUAGUGCAUAUCUUACAAGUGCAGCUGAGAAUUAGAGAUAGGGGACCCUCACCCUACUCUGCCCACCCCACCAUCUGCCCGCCUGGGGCUGGGGGCUCUGUGGCUUAGCUUCCACAUUAGCAGGCGUGACAGCCCUGCCCUCAAUCAACCUCUCAUACACACACACACACACACACACACACACACACAUACCUUCUUCUUUUCCUCUCCUCUCUCCCCUCACUAUUUUUAAUGACAGGAGCUAGUUAGUGUGAGUUUUGCUUUUCCUUACUGUAAGUGAAAAACUAUUACUGUUCUGUUCUAAUCUGGUGCUUUGUAGACAUAAGUGCUUCUAAAUAAAUGUGUGACAGAGUUUUUGCGUUUGUCUCAGUUAAGGCUGGAUCUAAUCUUCAGUGGAUGUUCAAGAUGUAAAAAAUAGAAAGCUUCACCCAGACUGUUUUCCUUUCAUCAUUUAUGUCCUCCAUUUUUGUGCCCCUGUUUCUCCACUGGUGUGAACCUCACAUCCUGUUCCCCGUCCAGCAAAAUAAACAGUCAGGCUGGGAAUCCCCAGAAUCUGUAUACAUGAAGAUGGAACCUCAUUCCUCUCGAACUGGUCCGAGGAAUUAAAGUUGUGGAUGACUGAAACAGGAUACAAGAAAGGAAAAACAUGUCUCCCAUAAGUCAAUGCUUUGGCUGACCCAUGGUGUCUGUCUUUGGGUUUUGCAAAUAUUUAACUUAUAAAAGUAAUUAUCAGACUUUUAGGGGUGCUUUUCAGCUGUUUUUCGGACAAUUGUUAUGUUUGCGUCAACUGAUUGUUUUCCCCUAUUUGAUGAGAAAAGGAAUGAAGUGGUGCAUUGAAGUUCUAACUCCCCAAAAGUUGUACAAUUUAGAGUUUGACCAAAAUGUCUGUGAAAAAUGUGCUCCUAAUUUUUUGAGUUUGAACCUUCAUACCUGAGCAGCAGGGCAGGCUCGACUAUUAGGCAAUGUAGGCAAACAUUAAGGGUGCUGCAGCCUCCAGGAGGCAACAGAAAAUCGUGGAAUAAGUCACCUAAAAUAAUUAUAUUCUUAGAAAAUUUGUAAUUAUUAUGAACUCUUAAAAAGGAAAAGCCAGCAUAGAUUCAUAAAUAAUCCGAUGCCAAUGUUUGAAAGCCCACAGUUUACUCUUGUUGCCAUUGCUUAAUAAUGCCAUAUUAAACUGUCUCUAUUGGGUUUGUCAUGUUUAUAUUAUAAAUUACAGUAAUUACAUUAUUUGAAAUUGUACUUCAUAUUUUAAAUUGGGUGACAUGUUAUCUUAUACAUUAAGACAAUGGCAAAUGCUACUUGAUUUCUUUUGUAAGCACACCACAUGUAAUCCGGCAAUAGAGGGGGGCGCCAUAUAAAAUCACACCUGAGGUGCCACAUUGCAGAGCAGAAAUAUUUUCUCUCUUGAGCGAUCAUUGGCACUGUCACUGAUUUUACUUUGGUUCCAUUAGCUUGGGAUUGCUCAGACUCAAAAUAACAAACAGCUUUUUUGUGAACAAAAGACUGAAUAUUCUGCGACUGUCGCUGUGCAUUUGGGUCCAUCUAUGUGUAAUAUUUGACAAUAAGGUUCACUGAGUGAAAAUGUAGACUGUUACAUUAGCUUCUUUGCGCACGGUUGAAAGUUAUCAAUAAAAUUAAAAUCAUACUUAAAACGUCCGGUUAAUACAGGUCUUUUGGUGACAGUUUGUACUUACAUCAUUAAUCUGUUUUGUAUGACUGGUAUUAUAAGUGCAAUAUAAUAUUGACAUCAUUUAGCAAAAGAACUCUAUGAAUCAUCAUCAUCGUCAUCAUCAUUCAAGAUUCAGAGAUAAUAGUUCACUUCCAAAAGUGUCCAUCCUCACCACCUUCUCCGUCUCCAUCUGGUCAUCGGCAGCCUCUGCCAAGGACAGAGGCAGACUGCAGUGUAUCAUUCAUGCCACUGAGAAGGUGAUUGGCUACAAUCUGCCAUCCUUCCAGGACUCACGGGUCAUGCUGAGUAUGUUGUGACCCUUUCCAACCUCACCUUAAACAUACAAAUCGUCAAGUCCAUCAAGACCAGAAACUCAAAACACAGAAACUUAGAAUUAUUGACUGAAGAUAAUCAAUAAGGACCCCAAAGGACCAUUCACACCACCCUUCCAUUAGCCUAUUUCACACAGAGAUCUGUGCAAAAUUAAUGCAUCAGAGCCAUAUAAGUAGAUAUGGCAUUUAUGAGCUUGUGCCUUUCAUAGAGAGCUAUCUUUUUACAUACAGUGUAAAAUUCUACUGUUGUACGAGCACAAAUUUCUCAGCAUAUCUUACCUUUACCAUCAUCUAACUUAAAUCAUUCACUACCAUUCAUCUAACUUAAGCAGAAACCAUGACACGUAAAAACAUACAAAUUUCUAUACUCUGAAUUGGUUGAAGCUACUUUUAGAAAUGUAAGAAACUACCAGAUUCGUUUGCUGUGUGUGACCACUGUUUGAUUCCUGUUUCCAACCAUGAGUCAGGACUGCUUUUGAGUUGUGUGCGUUUGAGUGAAACUGUAACGACAGACUGCUGUUCACUUCCUUUCCAAGCGCAUGGUGAAGAAGUCGUAAUGGAAGACUGCUGUUCUUUCCUGUUUCCAACCGCGAGCCAAAUCUGUGCUUUAAAAAGCAUGAUUGUCCGCUAAACUGAUGAGAAAGGCUUACUUGAACCCAUAUGAAGACCCUUCAAGAAACAUUACUACAACUGACAUACUCAAUGAUAUGUACUGUAUCUCCUGGUAGAACAGAUGCUCAUCAAUGUUUAGCAUUGUUACUUGUUAAAUCACUUUGAUGUUAUUAAACAAAUGGAAAGAACAGUUAUUAGAGGAAAAGACAAUUCUCCCUUGCACUUAAUGACAGCUUACUAAAGAUAAGUCGAGCGACUCAAACACGUUAUUCUUGCUGCUACUAGCCCACUUAUCAUCUGACAUACUUUGCCUCAAUUGGAAAUGCACAUACAGCUUCUCAGAUGGUUCUCUGCAGAAUUAGGUAGCACAUAAAACAGUGCUGGUUAGGACACAAGUCACUUAAAAAGCCACUUUGAAUUUAGAUUAACAUAAUAUAGGGGAACGGUGGAUGAGUGGUUAGGACAUCCACCUCACACUUCUGAGGACCUGGGUUCAAAUCCAGCCUCGCUUGUGUGGAGUUUGCAUGUUCUCCUCGUGCCUGCGUGGGUUUUCUCCUGAACCUGGGUCAUCAGAACUGUGAAACUGAUGUGCUAACCAGUCAUCCACCGUGCCAGAAUUAUUAAUGUAAACACAAUAUACAGUGGGUACGGAAAGUUUUCAGACCCCCUUCAAUUUUUCACUCUUUCUUAUAUUGCAGUCAUUUGUUAAAAUCAUUUAAGUGAAAUGUUUUCCUCAUUAAUGUACACACAGUACCCCAUAUUGACAGAAAAAAAAAAUGGAAUUGUUGAAAUUUUUGCAGAUUUAUUAAAAAAGAAAAACGGAAAUAUCCCACAGUCAUAAGUAUUCAGACCCUUUGCUGUGACACUCAUAUAUUUGACUCGGGUGCUCUCCAUUUCUUCUGAUCAUCCUUGAGAUGGUUCUCCACCUUCAUUGGAGUCCAGCUGUGUUUGAUUAUACCUAUUGGACUUGUUUAGGAAAGCCACACACCUGUCUGUAUAAGACCUUACAGCUCACAGUGCAUGUCAAAGCAGAUGAGAAUCGUGAGGUCAAAGGAACUGCCUGAAGAGCUCAGAGACAGAAUUGUGGCAAGGCACAGAUCUGGCGAAGGUUACAAAAAAUAUUCUGCUGCACUUAAGGCUCCUAAGAGCACAGUGGCCUCCAUAAUCCUUAAAUGGAAGACGUUUGGGAUGAUCAGAAACCUUCCUAGAGCUGGCCGUCCAGCCAAAGUGAGCAAUUGCGGGAGAAGAGCCUUGGUGAGAGAGGUAAAGAAGAACCCAAAGAUCACUGUGGCUGAGGUCCAGAGAUGCAGUCGGGAGAUGGGAGAAAGUUCUAGAAAGUCAAGCAUCACUUCAGCCCUCCACCAGUCAGGGCUUUAUGGCAGAGUGGCCCGACGGAAACCUCUCCUCAGUGCAAGACACAUGGAAGCCCGCAUGGAGUUUGUUAAAAAACACCUGAAGGACACCAAGAUGGUGAAAAAUAAGAUUCUCUGGUCUGAAAAAUUAACUUAAAUGAUCUUAGCAAAUGGCUACAAUAUAAAAAAAGAGUGAAAAAUUGAAAGGUCUGAAUACUUUCCGUACUCAUUGUAUAUUUAAAUAUAUAUAAUGUAUUGGUGGAGUUUGAGAGCGCCGCUGUGGCCGAAUGCGUCUCCGUUAAACAUUUUUGAGUGAAUUCUCACAUGCGCAUUUUUGCUUACCUGUUGAAAGCCCCACAACGACUCUGACAAUUUAUUCCAGGCAUAUAUUUUUGUGGCUCAAACAUAUAGGGAGAAGUAGAAGUAGUAGAAGUAUGCUCGUCGUACAAAUUUAUUUUGUGCGACAGGUGAAAGCCUAGCUGGGCGUGUUUUCAGUGCAUUCAGUGGAAACGCCAACAGCGUCCAAGGGCAGGAAAAAACGCCUGAUUUUUCAUGAUUUUGAAGGCUCAUUUUUAGUUUAGUUUAUCAGUUUAUUUUUGAAAGGGGACAAUGCAAUUUCAUAAAACACAUGAAGUACACAUGGUUAAAAAAGCCAGAAUUAGCCAGAAGGCUAGUUUUCAUCUGUAGUCCCCUGGCCAUGAUGUAAAAAAGCAGUAAAAUACAUCUACAAGACAAUAUAAUACAGGAUACAUAAUCAAACUAUACUAUUAAGAGAGAAUAAAACCAUAAUUUUUUUGAUCAUAACAAAAAGACAACAUAACAUACUUGUCUUUUAGUGUUGGCAGCUAUAGGUGUUAACUAGCCACAUUUUCAGUUUUUUUGUGAAGACCUUGUAUGUUGUAAGCAGUUUAACCUCCUCAGGUACUGAGUUCCACUCACCAGCGCUCCUCACUGACCAGGCUGACUUACUGAAAGUGCUCCUGCGCAGAGGAAUGAGACAGUCACCUCUGACAGAGCCUCGAGUGACACGCUCAGAGCUGUUUCUUUGGCUGAUGAACUCAGCCAGAGGAGCUGGGGCCAAAUCAUGCAGUACUUUAUAAAUCAAAUUUAAAUCUGCAAAUAUGGGAAGACUGUCCCAGUUUAAAAGACUGUAUUUUUUUUAAAUUGCACAGUGAUGAUAGUGCCUUGGUUUUUUAUCCAUCACUUUAAUUACUUGUUUGUACAAAACUUCCAAUGGUUUUUUUAGAUACUAAGUGGUGAUUAUUAUUUUUUUUUAAUCAUUCAAAUUUGCCAGGGUUUUUAACAACACUCUUAUCUGUGGUGUGUCAAAUUUAUAUAUGUUUUCACUCAACGGGGACUUUAGUACAGCAUUUGCGAAGGCUAGUGAUAGAAUAUGCAGUGUUCUGAUUUACAACUUCGGGUUACGUCGUCGCUGCGGUGCGUAUAAUGCUCACGAUCCCUUGUGAUCCAUGCACAAGGGAUGUUUUUUUCCCGUCUCUUUAGGUUAGUAUUGCAAGUUAAUACAUCUAAUUAAACGUUUUAAUCAACGAGGGCACAAUAUUGAUUUUGAUCUCUGUUUAGGGAAGGGGAGGGGUGUCAGAGUUAGCGCAUACCACCGUGAUUAUCCUUGCUUCAGUAGACCUGUCACUCAACCUGCAAACAUCUCCUCUCCCUCCAGCCCCCGUCAAGAGAGGACUUGGAGAACAAUGAGUUGAAGUCAUCCCAGACUUAUAAUUAGUGUCAUGUCGACUCCUAUUGACACGUCCACUCUUUGAUUAAACAAUUACCUCAAUGCAAUAAGCCUCAGUGAUUGAGUCAUAAUCUUGAAUAAGCCGUAGCCAGUUAUAUGGACACCUAUGAUGAGCUCAUCAUUUGCUUGGUGACUGGUCCAUCUGUUAUGACUGGAUGGUCUCAUUUUGGUCGCAGUCUCUACCAAUAGCAGGUUGUCUCAAGUUGAACCCAGUGUGUGAGGAUGCAUGUGCGCAAGCAAACAGAAUGCCCAUGUAUGCAAAUGCUUUCAUGCACGAGUCUGCAUUCUCUUGGUAUGAUACACACACACAACACGCAUACACUUCCCUUCACACAUGCACUUGCAAACAAAUGCAUCUGCCCACCUGCCCACCCAGCACUCCUCCACCUCACACGUAAACAGCCUGGCAUCUGUCACAUGAGGUGGGGGAGCGCACUUGGAGGGGGGUCUCUCUCUAAUACAUACACACACAAACAUCCGGACACACCGACACCAUCUUGCUGUCUGCACCCGCUGUCCCCUUUUGACCUUUUGACAGGUACACGGAGCAUUUCAAAGUGAGAAGGGGAGGCCAAGUCAGAGAUGCGCCCUAUCCGCAGGUAGCUGUCCAACUUCUUGGGGCCCCGUGGGGACGGUGUUGCCUCUCCUAGGAAGCCAUAACUCUCCCCUCAGGAAGUGAGGUGUGUCUGGAGCUUUAUCUACAUCUGCCUGCAAGAAACGCAAGAGGACAAGAGGUGGUGCAAAGAGGAGGAUGUCAGGAGAACCGUGCUUCUUUUGUCAGCAAAGGCUGUGUGGACAUUUAUGUUUUGUUCCAAAACCCACAAUGAAUAUCAAUUGAUCAAAGUCGCGCCAGCAAAUGUCACGGUUUUCAGUCGUCCCUGACAAUUGAAGGUAUAUUUAUCAAAUAAUGUUCUUGUAUUUAUGCAGCUUCAUUGAAGUCGUCAUAACGAUCCCCUCAAAAAGACGUCAGUAAUGCUAAAACUGAAAACACUUUGACAUGCAUGCUAGUCCAGUAGUUGGCAAACGUACCAGUUGCUCUCAGGUGUUAUCCAACAGUGUCUUAAUACCCUUUGUCAGGAUAUUUGCGGGUUUAGAAUUAUGAUGUACUGUAAGUACUGCGACUCUGCCCGUCAUGUUAGUGUUUAGGAGUGUGAUAAGAUAUUGUGAUGUACUGCAUUGUCCCAGUAUUCAUAUGUAGUGUCAUCACAGUGUAUGUACCGGCCAUAUGUGUUGUAUUUAUAUUCAAUAUCUAAUAGAAUCUCUCUUUACUUUUCAAUAAAUUCACAGUUAAUUCCUG